GGCUAAAAUAGUUUAUUUCAUAUACAUAAGUUCCAUUGCGACAACAACCUUGAAAUAAGAAAGGGGAAUGAAUAAAAUUCUUAAAUAAAAUCUUAAGUUGAUCAUUUAUCCAACUGAGGGUAACUGGGUAUUGAAAAACCACUAGUGGCAUCAAGCCUCACUACUUCCGAUUACCAAUCCAAAAAUCAUCUUUGUGUCGCAUUUUCGACGUCGUUGCAAUUCUAGCACGACUUAACACUCUAAUAGCUUGGGUAUAUGCUCGGGCCACAAUAAUAGUAUCAUCUGAGGGCAAAGCCCAAAUUCCACAAUAAAAUUAUAAAGGUCACCAACUGAAAUUAACAAAUAUCACAUAGCAUUUAAAUUUCAAAUGCACAAAAUAACCUUUCAACUUAGCAUACACCUUGAAAAGGUUUUCAUAUGUCCAAAAAUGCAUAAACAAUAUUGAAAAAUGAAGUUUUGACAAACUGCACUAUCAUAGCCGAAUACAACUGAGAAAAUGCAUAUUUUCAAUUCUAAAAUGGCCCUGAAUCAAUCAACACUUCAAACAUUAAUAUUAUCAAUUAUGAACACAUAAUUAACAUCAAAUUAAUCUCCACAAAUUCACACCUCAAUCACACAUCGAAUAUUCAUAACAUGAAUUAUGAACACAUAAUUACAUCAAAACUUAAUCAACCCAACUUCACACCUCAAAGCAAUUACGACAAAUCUCAACAACAAUCAAAUAUGUAUAUACAAUUAUCAUAGUAUAACAAACAUGACUCGUGUGCCAAACACUCUAAUGCAAUGUGUAUAUGCCAAAAUGCAUGAUUCCGGAAUUCCAAACCAAAACCCUCCUCGAAUGACGUAAAUCAUAAUUGUACAGCCUCUCACAGGCCAGUACUAAUUACCAAGGUGCAAUCUCUCACAGAUCAGCAUAAUUUACUAGCGUGCAGUCGCUCACAGACCAACACAACAUACAAGAGUGCAGUCGCUCAUAGACCAGCACGAUUUUCUAGAGUGCAAUCGCUCACAGAUCAUCACAUUCUAGAGUGCAAUCUCUCACAGAUCAGCACGACAUACAAGUGUGCAGUCGCUCAUAGAGCAUCACGAUUUUCUAGAGUGCAAUCGUUCACAGAUCAACACAUUCUAGAGUGCAAUCUUUCACAGAUCAGCACGACACGACAAUCCCAACAAGGAUAAGAUGAACCAAUAAUUCACAUGGCAUCAUCUCGUGGCCCAUCACGAUCACCACUAUCACCAUGACCCCAUCGCGGUCACUAUGUACUAUGAAAUGCAUAAGCAUACUCUGACUUUUUUCACCACAAUCAUUAAGUAAAUGCAGCUAUUAAAAGAUUCCCCAUUUUUAAUACUCAUUUAACACUAAUGAUUUUUUAGAUACAACACAGAGCAUACUCAAACAUAUUUAUUCACACCAAUUUCUAUUUCCACAAACACACCUAAAUCAUAUCUCCAAAUUCAAUCCACACAUAAAUUGAAUCAAAUUCCUUUUCCCCCAAACCACACAUAAAUUUUUUCUCAAAAAUUCAUAACAUUAAUUAUAAACACAUCAAUUUCACCAACACAAGUCACCACAAUUUUCAAACAAUAAUCACUCAUAUUCAAUCUCCAAAGUUUUCAACCAUAAAUCACCACAACAGCAUUAAUAUAUCAGAGUUCUCCCCACCGCUAACUCGGUGUCAACGGUCUCGAUUCCUUUUUGAGACUCAAGGAGCUAACUAAAUAAACAUGAAUAUUUAUAACAAUUUGUUCACAAUAAAACUAAUCCAAACACAACAAAAUUCCCAAAAUUAAAUCUUUCUCACACACCAAACUUUUAAAACCAAAUAAUCUAUAUUAUUUAGUUAAAACUAAAUAAAAUAAAUAUUGUUCAAAUAUCACAUACACACACUCGACUAUUAAAGCACUGAAAUUUUUGAGUUAAUAAAAUACUCUAUACUUUUUUCCUUUUUAAAACUCAGUUCAAGAGUAAUUAAAAGAGUGACAUUUAAACUCUAAUCAUUUUUAAUUUCAAUCUAUCUUUUUGCUCAAACUCUUUAACUUAGUUAAAAUUUGAAACUUUUUCACAAUUUUAAUAACUCUAAUUUUUUUUUAUAAAAUUUCAACUUCAGUUCAAACUCAUUUAUUUGAAAAUAACUCAUUACGUAACUCAAACACUUCAAAUUUAGUCAUCACACAUAAAUCACAUCUAAAAAAUUCAUAAUAUUAAUAAUGAACACAUAAAUCACACCAAACUUGAAUCACCACCAACCACACCUCAAAUUUAAAUUCCACUAAAUUACACAUAAUCACAUUAAAUUCAUUUUCCACAAAUAUACACCUCAAAUACAUCAAAUUUCUAUUCCACAAAAUCAUAAAUAAUGUCCUAAAUGCAAACUAAAAGUUUGGAAGGAGCCCUUACCUUAACGGUAGCUUUAACAAGCGAUUAUGGCACCACGAUUAAUUUUGGUAAAAAAAUUGCGCUCGCCUUGUCGCUUCCAAAGUUGACUCACUAGCACCGUAGCGUGGAGAUGAACAACUUUCCCUUCUGUCACUUCUCAAAACGAAGCUUAGAUCUAGGAGAAAAGUGAAGGUUUUUGUGUUCGUGGAUUUUGAAAACAAACAAAGUUUGGAAAAAGAUAAGGAGGAAGAAGAAAGGAAUCUCGGGAGGCUGAGAAACGUUUUCUGUUUCUCUUUCU
rnacentral:lncRNA from 1 species